CUACGUGCCAGCAGCCGCGGUAAUACGGAGGGUGCGAGCGUUAAUCGGAAUAACUGGGCGUAAAGGGCACGCAGGCGGUGACUUAAGUGAGGUGUGAAAGCCCCGGGCUUAACCUGGGAAUUGCAUUUCAUACUGGGUCGCUAGAGUACUUUAGGGAGGGGUAGAAUUCCACGUGUAGCGGUGAAAUGCGUAGAGAUGUGGAGGAAUACCGAAGGCGAAGGCAGCCCCUUGGGAAUGUACUGACGCUCAUGUGCGAAAGCGUGGGGAGCGAACAGGAUUAGAUACCCUGGUAGUCCACGCCGUAAACGAUGAGUGCUAGGUGUUAGGCCCUUUCCGGGGCUUAGUGCCGCAGCUAACGCAUUAAGCACUCCGCCUGGGGAGUACGACCGCAAGGUUGAAACUCAAAGGAAUUGACGGGGGCCCGCACAAGCGGUGGAGCAUGUGGUUUAAUUCGAAGCAACGCGAAGAACCUUACCAGGUCUUGACAUCCCGAUGCCCGCUCUAGAGAUAGAGUUUUAYU
rnacentral:rRNA from 1 species